rnacentral:lncRNA from 1 species
UUCUCUUGGUGCUAAUGAAGCUGAAACCUCUGCAACCAUCACUUUGUGAAUGUCAUUCCAACUCCAAGUUCCAUUCUGAAAAUGGCUUGCAGAUUGUUGCUCAAUUACCACUGGAUCAGGUUCUGUCAAAUCGGCGUAGUUUGGUUUGACUAAAGGAGUGUGUAGUUGUAAGGAAGGAGAGUCAUAGUCUCCAACAAGGUUGAUCCAAUCACACUCAUAUGAGUUAUCAGUGGUGCAGCUGCUGCUGUUGCUCUCAAAACUAGUGGCGCGACCGAAAUUUCCAUCUGGAUCAGUGGAAUCAUCACAUGAUGAAUGAGGAUAGUUUUGACCAAGAACAUCAUAGAAUGAUUUUUCAGCAGCUUGGAGUCUUAAACAUUCCUGCAACAUGCAAGGUUUGUUCUCUAAAUCAUAUUCUUCAUCCAUGAGUAUGUCAUUUAUGUAUCUGAGGAUGUUGUUGGAAUAUCUUGUAUGUUCAUAAUUUCCAUAUGAGCUUGUGACAGAAGAAGGUGAUGAAGAUGAAUCUUCCAACUCAAAUCCAUUUGUUACUGUGUUAGGAACACUGAAAUCUUGCAGAAAGGUGUUUUUGGAAAGCAUAUUGAAACAAAGGCUAAUGCCAAACUUGAGCAAAAAAAAAUAAUCAGACUAUCAUAAAAGAUUGUUUUGUUCCUGAGAAACCAAGAAUUUAUGACUAGAAUUUUUUUGAUGAAUCAAUGAAACCAAAGACUGAACAACAGAAACAGGAAAAGAUAGAAUUGUUGAUAUAUUUGAGGAAGUCAGAAUAAGAACAAAGAAAACAAGAUUGAGAAAACUAAAAAAUUGUUCCUAUUUUGGAUGAUAAUAAUAGCUUAUCUUGGAAAAGUUGAUAUCUAUCUAACAAGUGAAGAGUAAAUGGCAUUGUUGUAUGAUAAUAAUAUCAUUGAUAUGUGUUGAUACCUUUGUUAUAUAGAAUUCAUAAAUGAUUCUUUACCAAGGAAACUACUAGGAAUGAGUAUUAUAGCCGCCAACCCUCUCCUUUUGUAUUAUUCCAUGUAUUAUUAUUUUAUGAUAUAGGGUGUGUUUGGUAAUUCCAAUAAGCUAGCUUAUAGCUUAUUGCAAUAGCUUAUGAGCUUGUUUGAUUUGGACGUGUUUGGUAACUAGCUUAUAUAAUUAGCUUAUAGCGUUUUUUGAGAUGCUAUUUCAAGUAGCGUAUGAGCUUAUAGCUUAUAGUUUUUUACAUUUUAUUCCAUAUUUACCCUUAUUAUUUUUUUAAAAUUAUAAUAACUACCCACUAACUAUAUACUUUUAUGUCAUUUUGUACUUACGACAGCUAAAUUUGUCAAACACUUUAAUUUUAUUCUACUAGCUUUUCAGCUAUAAGAUAGCUUAUAGCUUAUUUUUACCAAACAGAGCCAUAGUAAUAAUAAUGCACGAUCGAGUAUGUGCUAAGUAAAGUAUAUGACUAUUGCUGUUACUGUCACACACACACAAGAGAAGAGAGAGAUACGUGAUAUGUGAUCUAGUUUUUUAUUUUUCUGUUCUAUAUAAGAUAAGAUAUUAAAUGGUCAAAUGCAGGUGAACCCUUGUUCCCCAAGUCACUUUUUGCAACCUACUAGUAUUACUAAAUUAUAUAUCAUGUGGAGUACUACUAACUACAAUUUUAAAUUCAAUGUGAAUGCCACUUGAAUGUGAUUGAUGUUUUCUUUGGUCCCAUGAUGGUGUAGUAAGACUUUUGUUAUGUAAUCUACAAUUCUACAUACAUCUUGUUAACACUUGACACUAACAACGAACCAUAUCAUAGAACAUAAAAAGAAAUUUCAGUUGGAAACUUUUUUUGAUUCAAAAUUAGUUUGUGUUGGUUGACAAUCUUCUUUAAGAGGAGGGUCUCUGAAGUUUUAUGUAAUAUGAAAGUACCCCUUAAAUUAAAGGGAAAAUUUUAUCGGACUACGGUAAAACCGGCGAUGUUGUACGGAACCAACACAGAAAUAAACUAAGUGUAGCAGAGAUGAGGAUGUUGCGUUGGAUGUGUGGUGAGAGUAGACGGGAUAUAAUAGAAAUGACAACAUUAGAGAUAGAGAGUUGGGGUAGCAUCUAUAGUAGAAAAUAUGGUGAAAUCUAAGAGCUUAAGUGGUUUGGCCAUGUAGAUAGAAAACCUGUAAGUUCUGUAUUAAGGAGAGUAGAUCAGAUGGAGGAGAGUCAAAUUACUAGGAAGACCUAGGAAAAACAUAGGAGAAACUAUUAAGAAAGAUCUAGAAAUUAGCGAGUUGGAAUAGUAAUAUGACGUCGUUUAAUCCAUGUAGCUGACUCCACGUAGUGGGAUAAUGCAUGGUUGUUGUUGUUGUUGAUGAAUUACUGCCAUUCCUAGUUUUUGUUUUCAUUCAGGUGUUCUUCCUUUAAGUAAUAUUUUUGUCUUUUCUGAUUAUUAGUACUAAAUUUGUGUUUCAUAAAGAAAAAGAUUAUCAUGUUUUUCCACCUAGGAAGUAAAUUGAACAUCAAUAUUGAAAUAAAAACUCAAAUGGAGAAAGAGAAAUAGAAAAGGAAAAAUUCAUUGCAUUUUUUUCAACAGGUUUAAGUGAAUUACAUAUGAUACUACUACAAGACACCUUUUGGACAUUUUCUUAAGCAGGAACCCAAGCAGAAAAAGCAUUCAAAAUACGGCCUUUCCAUCCUUGCAAAAUCCACUUACCAUCCUCAUCAACUACAAAAUCUUUAUGGUAUUCCUUCUUAACCAUUGUUUUGGUUUGAUUCACUAACUCAGAAUCCAACCUGAUUUGCUUGAACCCAGCUCUUCUGUUCCUGAUCUGCCAUUGCUUGUAGGUCUCAGGCCUUUCAACUCUCUCUGCACCCUCACAAGCUAUAACAUUUAUGGCAUCCCUAGCAAACACACUACUCUCAAGCAUCAACCUCUGUGGAUCUUCGCGAGGAACAUUAGCCUCAAACAUAUCAAACAAUGAUGAGAAGUGGUAUAGUGCUUCCCUAAACCGAGUCAGGAAAAACGGUGCACUAUAACUUCCAUUGACAACUCCGUGGAAGAAGAUUUUUGGAUUAAUCUUCUUGAUCAGCUUCAACAAAGCUUCUCUUGGACAAUUGACUGCAACCGUUUCAUCAGGCAGGUUCUUCAGUCUGUAUAAACAGCUAACAAGAGUUAUUUCAUUCCUGUCUAUCUUCAGAUCCUCGAGCCGGAUAGUUUCCCAUUUCUGUGCAAUGAAGUUGUAUUCAAAUGGUACAUUGAACUUCUUGCAGUAGUUUCCUAAACGCCGUCCGGUUUCCUCCACCCUCUCUGCAGGCCUAAAUCCUGCCUGAGGAAGAUCAAUUCCCGUAAUUCGAAGCUUUGGAGGACCGCCAGGUCUUAAUGAAAGUCUUUUGAUGAGGCAAGGCCAUUGGAAACCAUAGCAAAUUCCAAAAUCGAUAAUAUGAACGCUGCUCUCGUACUUCACUACUCUGAUAAUCGUAUUGGUUAACAAGUUAUUUGUCAUUCUCUGCAAAGGAGAUGAGGUAAUGAAUAGUUUGUACGCUUUCAACAUAUCUCCAGCAGUAGCCACACAAAAAGGCAUAUACGACGGUGUCUCGGCAGCCAAUCUUAUCUCAAGACCAUCAGCAAAGUAAUGAGCUAAGCGCUGCAGUCCAUCACCAUAAGCCGAAGAAUGUUGCCUAAUCUGCUUGAGCAGCUCAUUUGUAUUCCUUUGAUCGUAGCUCGCCACAGCCUGCGCACAUUGAGUUAGCAUGGUCCACAAAUCCACAGCUGUGGCAUUGUUAUUAGAUACUUUCUUUUGCCGCGAACGUGUUGCCUUUGACUUUCCUCCUGAAUCGAGAUUCUGCAAUGGUUGUUGGUUUUGAGACCCUCCUGACUGAUAAAGCAGUACCUCAUCUAAAAUCUCUGGUGGCUCUAUUUCGUCAGAGAAGAUAGCUGAAAUCUUGCUACCUCUUCCCUCUGGUUCAUUACAAGAUUCAUCAUCAUUUAUCUUAUAACCUCUCUUUUCUCUUGGUGCUAAUGAAGCUGAAAACUCUUCAACCAUCACUGGCUGAAUGUCAUUCCAACUCCAAGUUCCAUUCUGAAAAUGGCUAGCAGAUUGUUGCUCAAUUACCACUGGAUCAGGUUCUGUCAAAUUGGAGUAGUUUUGUUCUAUCAAAGGGGUUUGUAGUUGUAAGGAAGAAGGGUUAUAUUCUCCAACAAGGUUGUUCCAAUCAGACUCAUAUGAGGUAUCAGUGGUGCAGCUGCUGCUUUUGCUCUCAAAACUAGCGACGCGACCGAAAUUUCCAUCUGGAUCAGUGGAAUCAUCACAUGAUGAAUGGGGAUAGUUUUGACCAAGAAC